GACGAACGCUGGCGGCGUGCUUAACACAUGCAAGUCGAACGGUGAUGCUCCAGCUUGCUGGAGUGGAUCAGUGGCGAACGGGUGAGUAACACGUGAGCAACCUGCCCCCGACUCUGGGGUAAGCGCUGGAAACGGCGUCUAAUACUGGAUACGAAACUCGCCCGCAUGGGCAUGGUUUGUAAAGUUUUUCGGUUUGGGAUGGGCUCGCGGCCUAUCAGCUUGUUGUUGAGGUAAUGGCUCACCAAGACGACGACGGGUAGCCGGCCUGAGAGGGGGACCGGCCACACUGGGACUGAGAUGCGGCCCAGACUCCUACGGGAGGCAGCAGUGGGGAAUAUUGCACAAUGGGCGAAAGCCUGAUGAAGCGACGCCGCGUGAGGGAUGUAGGCCUUCGGGGUGUAAACCGCUUUCAGCAGAGAAGAAGCGAAAGUGACGGUACCUGCAGAAGAAGCACCGGCUAACUACGUG
rnacentral:rRNA from 1 species